GUCAAGUCUCCAUUUCUCAGCCCGGGAGACAACAGAGCAGGACAGGGAGGGAGCGAGCACAGAUUGGGCAGCAUUGCAGUCCCUGUCCCACCUGUGUCAGCCCUGCAGUCUCCUGGCCCUUCGCCUCUGCCUCGCAGGCUCUGUGAUAAAGCCCUCAGACGGACACCACUGGGAAGGAGAGAAGGCCGGGAUGACAUUGAGUCUCUGUGGAGCAGAUCAUGUUAGCUCUGGCGGGGUGACAGUCUGGAGGGACUGGCACUUCCGUCUGGGCACUUCUCCAUGCUGUGUUUCUCCCUGAGCCAGUGCUGAUUUGUUGGAAACACAGCUGCCCUGCACCUCAGUGGGUACCUUCUGGGUGUCUUUUCCUGGGUACCACCAUCCCCGUGAAGCAUGGAGGAGCAGGACUCUUUCCAGCUUGCUGCCACUGCUGGCCAUAGUGUGUUGUUUCAUGUUCUCUCCUCCAAAAAAAUUUGACUACUGAUAUAGCCCCAGACAAAUAGUUUAACAAAAAUAAUCUGUGUCUCCUCCAGUUCUACAUUCCC
rnacentral:lncRNA from 1 species